UAUAUAUAUAUAUAUAUACACACACAUACGUACACACACACACACACGCACAUUUUUUUGGAAGAUCACUACAACGUCAAUCUGUGGACUUCUUUUAUUGCUAAAAUAUGCCCUGGGGAAUAGUAGGAAAACCUAGAAAAACCUUCACAAGAAGUGGUAUCACCUGCCUGCCAGUCAGAAGGUUAGUGAGGUACUGUGAUCAAAGCAAAGGAGUUAGUAUCUCAAAGAAGCUUUGUCUCAGCACGCGAGGAGUGUCUGAUACAACAGACUCCUUCAUAGUCACAGACGUGGCUUCAGUAGAUGCUCUUCUAGACACAGAAGCCGAUGAUGCAACUGAUUUCCCUGGAUGACUUUUGCAUACCCUGGGAGAAAAUGGGUAGCCCAAGAAAUGUUUGGAUCAUCAGAGAGAACAGCUGUAGAAGACCAAAUAAUAGCACGUGAAAUAAGGGUCUCGAAGAAAAUUGACUGACAUAUUGAUGGCAGUAAACAUUGGUAUUUCAGACUUGAGUUACUUCAGGUAGCAAAAAUGGGAAAUAAAAAUUCUGCAAUGUCAGACAGGAUUCAGAGUAGCAGCCGUGUUAGUCUGUAUCCACAAAAAGAAAAGGAGGACUUGUGGCACCUUAGAGACUAACACAUCCAGAGUGCAAUUUUGCAGUCUGAAAAAACACCUUGCACCCUUUCUGUUGACAACCUCUUUUUCUUAUGUACUUGCUUCAAAACUUCCUGAAAUAUCUCACUAAAGUUCCACUUUUGAGUAAUGGAACUCCUCCAGGAGGACGUGAUUACUAAAUGAGUUCUUUUUUGGAAUGAGACACAAAUGUGUGUUAAUAGCUUUUAAAAAAAAUGUAUGGGUCUUUUGUAAACUAAUAAACAUGUAUUUAAUAUGUUUGUAAAUAAUGCUUGAGCCUUUAUUAUAUAAAUACUACCAAGAGAAUAGUACCCUUUCAGUAGGGUAGCCCUUCCAAAGUCCACCUGCACUGGGGGCAAUGAUUGAGCUGAAUAGGGUUGUAAAGCUGUGUAUCUUUCAUGCUGAAAUGAGUCUCCCCAUUCUUUUGAACUAUGUCAUUUUAAGGAUGGAAAAUACAAUGAAACAAACUAAAUAAGAAUCCUAUGGUAUGCCAGAGAACAGAUUUGUCAACCCUGUGGGCAUGCUGCAAACCCCAUCUUCCUCUCCUAUGUUAGGCUAUAGAGGAGGGUGUGGGUUGGAAAAAAUAUAUUUAGGGGCAAUCUUUGAUUUAUAUUGUGAUUUGUAACUUAUGGGAUGGGUUACUUUGAGCACUGGAUGGACACCUUUCAUUGUGCAGUAAUAUGUGCAGUAAUAAAUAAUACAAAAGCUCCAAGUUCAGUAUUUUUUUAAAAGCGCAAAACCAUGUCAGUUUCCAUUUAAAAGCAGUUUUCCACCAGAAAUGUCUCCAACCAACUCACCCCAAUAGCUAGAAGACUGAAACAAAGAAAUCAUACCUGACUAUCACAGCUUCUGGUUCCACACUCUUUCAGGCAGGGUUAGCACCUGCUCAGGAAUUCUGUUCUUGAUUCUUCUGUGCUUACUGCCUUGUUUGGCGUACCUUGUAAAGCCACAGUUACAGAAAUACGGAGAUACUGCAUUACUUUGUUUGCAUACUGCUACCUUCUUUUCCCUUCAGCCCCAAAGAUUUCCCAUCAUCCUCCCUUUCUCUGUCUCCCUCCUCAAGUUUCUUCCUCCCCAACAUCCAUGGCUUGUUUUUCCCCAUUCAGACACUCCUGUUUCCCUCCAUAACAUACUAACUAUAUAGACUCUUCCUAAGGCAUGGUCCCUAACCUACACAUGAUUACGGAGAUGUGGCUUUAGUGAUUACUUCACACUAUGCAGUGCUACAUCCAUGUGAUUAGAUUAGGGACCAUUCUCCAAACUCCUGGAGGACUCUGAACAGUCUUUAUAGCUUAGAGUCCUAGGACAUACCUAAAGGACUCAAAAUAUAGAGAUUGCAGCUUGGAGCACCUCUCCCUCACGCCCCAGCUCUUCCAGCAAAAACAGGAGAUAAAGGCAGGGCCGGCUCUAGGCACCAGCAAAACAAGCAGGUGCUUGGGGCAGCGCAUUUCUAGGGGCGGCAUCCUGGCGCCGGCCAUGCCGCCCCUAGAAAUGUGCCCCCGCCGCCCCAGCUCGCCUCCACUCCACCUCUGCCCACUCCCCUGAGCAUGCCGCCGCCUCUCCGCUUCUCCCCCCUCCCUCCCAGGCUUGCCGUUUCGCACGGGGGAGGCAGCAGUGGUGGAGCGGAGGUGAGCUGGGGCAGGGAGCGGUUCCUCUUCCCCCCCUCCGUUACUUCCUGCGCUCUCCCCCACCCCCGCUCCCCUCGGCUCCGCCUGCUCCCCUGAACGCGCUGCCUCUCCCUUGCCUGAGAGGGAAGGGGGAGAAGCAGAGCAGCGGCAUGUUCAGGGGAGCAGGCGGAGUGGAGGUGAGCUGUUGCGGGGCGGAGCCACAGGAAGCAAUGGGGGGGGGGAAUG